GCCCUGGGAUAGCUCAGUUGGUAGAGCAUGAGACUCUUAAUCUCAGGGCUGUGGGUUUGAGCCUUACGUUGGAUA